CGGGACGGGUGAGUAAUGCUUGGGAAUCUAGCUUAUGGAGGGGGAUAACUACGGGAAACUGUAGCUAAUACCGCGUAAUAUCGAAAGAUUAAAGUGUGGGACCUUCGGGCCACAUGCCAUAGGAUGAGCCCAAGUGGGAUUAGGUAGUUGGUGAGGUAAAAGGGUCACCAAGCCGACGAUCUCUAGCUGGUCUGAGAGGAUGACCAGCCACACUGGGACUGAGACACGGCCCAG
rnacentral:rRNA from 1 species